ensembl:lncRNA
GUAGACUACACCACUGGCCGCACCAGAGCACGGCACUGCAGCCCACGCAGGCCCAUAUGGCCCCGCAGCAGACCCCGUUCCUCCAGGUAAAAGAACAGCCCUCUAAAGCAGCGGUCCCCAACCACCGGGCCGCGGACCCGUACCCGGUCGCGGGACAUUCCUAACCGUGCCAUAGGCUCACCGGCUGCUCCACGGCAAUCAAUGAAAGCAAUUCAUCAUGCAGUCAGCCUUCCCGCUGCAGCAGCAGGGUGCGUUCGCUGCCGCGCUGCAGCAACAACAGCAACAACAACAACAACAACAGCAGCAACAGCAGCAGCAACAGCAGCAGCAACAGCAGAAACAGCAGCAACAACAGCAAAGGCAGUUACAUCAGCAACAGCAACUACAGCUAGAGCAGUUAC